rnacentral:lncRNA from 1 species
AAAAAGUGUAAGUCAUGUAGGUUAGAUAAAAAUGAAAGGAAAAAUUCAGAAUUUGUUCGUUUCCUACACUAAUUUUAGGUGGUUUUCCCCUAUUUUCUAACUAAUUUUAUAGCAAUAUUUCUAUGAAAUAAUAAAUAUUUUUUGAUGUAGAGAUAAGUUCUCCAAUUUUUGUUGUCAAUGAAUGCAGUAAGCUAAAUGCUCACAGAAUGAACUAAAAAGUUUAUUAUUGAAUUGACCUUGGGUAAAUGUGGUAUAAAUAAAACUUCCUUUAAUUUACAAAAUAAUAUUAAUUGCUUUAUAAACUUGUAUGCACACUUAUAUUUUGCAUGUAUGGUAGAUGAUUGUAAAUAGAUCAAAUCAUAUAUACAAUAGUGUAUAUAAAUAAUGGGAACCUGUUUAUUCCAGAAGUAGUUUUGAAGCUGUAUUUCUGUGUCUAGAUAAAGUUAGUAUGGAAGUAUAACUUUAAGAAGAUAAAUGUAUUGUUAUUUAAGCUGGAAGACAUAACGUUGUUUUUUUACGGCUGUAAAUUUAGUUCACUGAGUGACACAUAAAUGAGCUCAAAAAUGGAUAUUUGUGUCGGUAUAAGUUGUAAAACAAAGUAUGGCCAAGCUUAAUAUACAUAGCAGUUAUCAAACACAAACACCAGACCUAUAAAUGUAUGCUCCAGAACAAAAUCAAGUUUGAUGAAAAUUUUAAUUUCAGAUGUGUCGUCUGCUUAUUAGGUCAUCUCAUACCAUUGAAUUCCUGUUUUCAAAAUGGCAGCUCCUCAAAGUUAUUGGUACAUUUGUAGACCAUUUAAUCUAAUCCCUCAAAAUUGGCCAAGCAAAAUCAUGAUUACAAAUUUAAUGGUAGAAUUAUUUGUUUUUUUUAAAUGUAGUAUAUCAAUCUAUUUCCAAACCUAUGACUAAAGUAAAUGUUGCAGGGUUGUUUUUAAGCUGCAGAAUAUGCAAAAUUGUCUUAUUUUGGCCAAAACAUAAUUAAGUGACCAGAAGGUGAACGCAAAAUAUUAUUUGGAAUUAAAAAAUUAGGCAAGUGCUUUAAAUAAAUUAAUUCAAGGGAAAAUUGUGCCUUCUAACAUGUUUGUUGUUAUAUAACAAAGUAAGUAGAUUUACAUUACAGUCAAUUAUGAAAAUAGAUAAUCUGAGUUAUCUCCCCAUAUAAAUCAAAAUUUCUGUAUUCAAGACAACAUAUUUUGUACUUAAAAACUAUAUUUAUGUUAGCAAUAAAAUUUAUACUAUAUAAUUGUUUGCUAAUUUUGGUAAAUUUCUAUACAAAUCGUAUGAGGUGCAAGAUGGUGAUGUGAAUUAACACUUUUGAAAUUUGAAAUAAAGAUAUUUACUGUGUAUUUUAAGAGAUUAAUUGCUCCAAAUUUAAAAAUGAGCUUCCUGAUAUGCUAUUUUUAGCUGAGUGUAGAUAUUUAGUAGUGGAUAUGAAAUGUAUAGCUUUUUAUAAAUGCCCAAUUCCCCUCAUCAAUAUGACAGCGCUAUCAAUUAUUGAUUUAGCUUUCUAUCAAUUCAUACUUUACUAAUAGUGUGCUGUGUAAAAUUUUGUAUGAUUGUGAUACAUGCUAUUGUUAUUGUUUUCCCAGUCAGAGUUUGUUCUUUGUUUUCUUUUUCUUUCAUGCUACAAUAAAUUAAUAAGCUU